UAAGAGGUCCCACCUGCCCAGUGACUAUAUGUUCAACGGCCGCAGUAUUUUAACCGCGCGAAGGUAGCGCAAUCACUUGUCCUUUAAAUGGGGACCAGUAUGAAUGGCAUCACGAAGGCUUAACUGUCUCCUCUUUCAAGUCAAUGAAAUUGAUCUCCCCGUGCAGAAGCGGGUAUAUUAACAUAAGACGAGAAGACCCUAUGGAGCUUUAGAUAUUAAGGCAGACUGUGUUAAGCACCCAUUAAAGGACUAAACUUAACGGCCCCUGUCUUAAUACCUUUGGUUGGGGCGACCAUGGGGAAUAAGAACCCCCCACGUGGACUGUAGACCUACAUCAUCUUUUAACUAAAGUCUAAUAAAACUAAGAGCCCCCGCUCUAACACUCAGAACACUCUGACCAAAUAAGAUCCGGCAAAGCCGAUCAACGGACCGAGUUACCCUAGGGAUAACAGCGCAAUCCCCUUUUAGAGCCCAUAUCGACAAGGGGGUUUACGACCUCGAUGUUGGAUCAGGACAUCCUAAUGGUGCAGCCGCUAUUAAGGGUUCGUUUGUUCAACG
rnacentral:rRNA from 1 species